rnacentral:misc_RNA from 1 species
GGUGGUUUGUGACUUAUGAUAAAUGUGUGAAAAUUAAUUAAAAAAAUAAUACAAGUGAUAAAAAAAUUAAAAUGCCGGACACACUAUCCUUAUCAGCUGGAGUGAGCCUGGGUCUCCUGGCGGGAAUCGUCUCUGGAGUGUGCUACCUCGUCGCCAAUGGAUUGACUUGGCCCAAGAAUGAGCAGGACCGGUACAGGAAAUGCAUAGCAUCGUCAGAGGACGACAGCAUCUGUCGUAGGUGCGGCGGCGACAGACAGGGGGGCGCCGUGCCGUGCAUCUGUUUUGCUCACGAGCCUGUGAAGUUCGAAUCGGGAGCUUGGUUCUUAAGGCAGGUCCAGCGGGCCAUCAGCCUCAUGCCGUGGUCCAUAUCCACCGAAAAACUACAACAAAUUGACGAAGAAUGCGAUGGCGACGCCAGUCCUGGUCCGAGUGGACCGACACGGAAAGACCUCCGAACAAUAAGAGAAUUCUUGGAAACUAUCUCUGCGAAAUUAGCGGGAGGACCACUCGAGGGGACCAGAGUCGCGUCGCUGUAUGACCAUCCUGCUUAUUUACCACCUCGCAAUGCAUCGCCAAGCGCUUCAAGCAGGCACCCGUCUAGCGCGAGCUCAGCACAUGUUCAGCUCAAGCGACUGGUCGCCAGGGUGGUGGAGGAAGCUGCAUCGAUGCCAGCGCUAGCGCGUUACGCUACCGAACCUUCGCACACGCCGAGCAUCGAGUCUUCUACUUAUGAAGAUUUACUGGCGUCAGCUAUUUUGAAUAAGGUGAUCGAGCGCUACCAGAAUGAGAACGGUUCAGGUGGUCGCAGCAGCGGCAUCCACUCCGCCAGCGCGAGCCCUACGCCUUCCGAACGAUCUUCGCCGCGGUCUCUUAACUCAAGGCACACCCGGGAUAUAACACCUCCUCUUCAUGAAGAGGAAGACGUGUCAGACUGGGACGAGGGCGAGGCGACCGACGAGGCACUGGAGGUGCCGCGCCGCGUGCCAUUCCCUGAGUUCGGCGAAGACAUAGUCCAUCAGUCAGUUACAGAAAAUGAAGACCGCGACUUCGACGAAGUCUCCGGCAGUGAUUUACAAGCAGUCGACGGCACUUGGGAAGAGAACUGGCUGUUUCAGAAGAAGAAGAUCAAAACCGUACAAUCAGUCCCUGUGCCUAUGUUAGUUCCAAACUCUAACACGGAAUACAGAGCACUUAUCGGAGAUAGGGACGCAGACGACACCACAGACUUGUCAGACAACGCAAGCGACGCUGACGAAGACGCUGAAUAUAAGAGCGACAUCAAACGAGUACUAGACUCCAAACACAUCAUAGGCGGUAAAACAAAAAUAAACGACCCACUAGACAUGGAACCAGAUAGUUUGACUAUUAUUGAGAACGCAAAGGAAUUCGAAAAACUCGUUGAGGACGAAUAUAAAGAAAAUGAAAAGGCCAUGGAUAAAGUGAUCAACGAAAUUAAUGACAAUAAUGUUACCAUCGUUGAAACUAUAAACGUAAACACAUCAGACAAAGUUGACAGUGGUCAAGAGUCUAUAUUAAUACUCGGUAUUGAAGAUGGACCGCUACCUAAAGCUGAAUUUGCUAUGAACGAAGAAAUACAUAGGACAGGUUUGAAUGGAGAUAUUAAUGGUUAUGCUGAUGUCAAGACAAACGGUGAAGUCUGCAAUGGAAGUGCAGGAAGUCUCCCAGAGAAAGUAUUAUCAAACACACUCAGCCACCAUGAAAGAGAGAGUGAGUACGAAGAGACAGUGACGCGGCCCGUCCAGAGGUACGCCGACAGCUUGAGGAGAAAGCAUUUCGAAGACACCCCCGCAGAAAAUCCACCACAAGAUGAGGAAGAAGAAUUAAUACCAGGCUCAAUAGCAUACAGAGAACGAAAGAAAUGGUUGAACUGUGUUGAAAUGCCCAACAAUCCUUAUUCGCCAGAAGCAAUAAAGAAACGAUUGUCAGCAAAAAGCACGUCAUCUAUAUUCGACAUGAUUACUAAAAACAAAGAUAUGGAAGACAAUAUUGAGAUAGACGAGGUCACUGACAAUGAAACAGUGGAUAGCUUGGAGACGCCAAUGAGAGAAAUCAACCAUAAUAAUUUAUCUAUGACGCUAAGUACUGAAAAUGUGAACAGAAUUGAUAGGAGAUCACAGAGUCCGUCUCCGAAGAUACUUAAAGACGUGUUGGCUGAUGAAGUUCCACAAUACAAACGAUACGGCAGGGAUUAUUAUAUAAGGGAGGCGAAGGCCUCGUCAGGCGGACGGAAAAAGGGCAGCUUCAGCGACACGAGCUCCAUAUCGUCAAUGAACAAGUCAACGAGCUUAGACAAUUUCGAUACAGAGUUCGCCUCGCCUGUAAGUGCCAGCAGCUCGUUGAGCGACCUCGAGGCCUCCGCCCUUCACCAGAACAUCGUUCGUGCCGUACUCAGCCCCAGAAAUGCGAGCCCCAACUUCGCUAUCAACCCCAUUUUCGAAAACCCCGAUAGACCUUGCGAUAACGGCGACGACCCCGCGCCGCUGCGUCGGCUCGGCCGCGCACACAACGUAAGGCAAUACACAAACGUGUGCGAUGGCGGUGACGGUUAUGUGGAAAACGAGGAUAUAGUUAGACUUAAAAUACCGACCAAACCCGAAAUCACCGAGGACCUAUUCGAGACUUACAACAGUGUUAGGAGCAACACGCUGCGAAGCGAUGAUCUGUGCCGCCGAGCCAAACGGCGCCCGCCUCUCACCUACGCGUUCGGUGGGAGUCUCAGGUUAAGCAAAGGCUUUCGUACCGAUCUCUGGUGAUUGAGCACCUAAUAGUCCGUUAUCUAUCCACCUUGAUCUGACAGCACCUUAUUGACAAACAUAACGAACAGUACUCGACUGCAUCUGCAUACCAUGCGAUACCUCCAACAGACAAAGUGAAACAUUACCAUUAACACUAGGUUAAGACAAGCUCUAGUUAGGUCAACGAUACGGUGAAAGGUCCAUACAUCCGACCGACACAUUAUCUAAAAUAUCUUCGUUUUACACACAAAACUAUACUCGAUGUGUGUAAAGUUGGCAUGUUUUGUUGAAUUAAACAGUGGAACCGCUGACUAACAGCACUCUGCACUUAUUAAUACAAAAGAAUCUCUAGUGCUGCACAUAUAUACAUAGAUUUGUGUACUUCGUAUUAAACAUUUUCAGUAAUAUUUACAACAGUAACAAUCGAAGAAGUGUGUGGGAUUACUUAUAAAACAGUUCAACAUGAUCGCAACGAACCAACAGUACACGAAAUUUGCUAAAGAUCAACCCAUAGAUACUGUAACCAUUAUGAAUAACCAAAA